rnacentral:misc_RNA from 1 species
UACAGGCCAGAGGUUGGGA